AACACGUGGGGAACCUGCCCCAUAGUCUGGGAUACCACUGGAAACAGGUGCUAAUACCGGAUAAGAAAGCGGAUCGCAUGAUCAGCUUUUAAAAGGCGGCGUAAGCUGUCGCUAUGGGAUGGCCCCGCGGUGCAUUAGCUAGUUGGUAAGGUAAAGGCUUACCAAGGCGAUGAUGCAUAGCCGAGUUGAGAGACUGAUCGGCCACAUUGGGACUGAGACACGGCCCAAACUCCUACGGGAGGCAGCAGAC
rnacentral:rRNA from 1 species